UUGCAAUUUUUGUGUGGCAAGUAUGAACUAGAUAAUUGACAUUUAAGCGUUAAUAAAGCAGAAAGGUACCUAGAUAUACACUGCACAGAUAUAACAAGUGUAUAUGAACAGAAUAAGACAGAUUGCAAAUAUUUUGACUAAGAGUGCGCUGAGAUGAAGCCUUGUAAAGAUGGCCUACACUUUUCUUCUUGCCUUAAAAAAACCUCCUCUAUAUCAGCACUCCAAAAUGACAACAGUAUCGUUCAUGUACAUUUUAUCAGAGGAGGUCCCAAUGUGUGAAUUUCUGUAUGAAUGAUCAAGACUCAAUUGUGUUGCAACCUGUGGCCCCUAUAUUCAUGUGGCAAAAACUCAGGAGGGUUGAAUGAGGCACAUUGAGAUAUUUGAAGAUGAAAUCCUAAAUUUCAAUUUUGAAGGGGUUGAAAAGAUUCAAACUGAUUUUUGCCCAUGUUAAAUAUAUAUCUACAUUGGAAAAAUGUGUGGAUGGAAACGAAUAGUCCCUAUAGUAAACUGCCUGAAUCUUUCAGAAACUGGCUCUUGAUGGCACACAAAUGUGUUUUUAUUCAAUACCACUAUGAAGUAGAGUUUUUUAAUGUGUAGGCCUUUUUAUUGUAUGACCUGUUGCCCUGAAGUAAUUAGCCAUUUCAUUUUUUUUCAGAUUCCUACUAGAUGUCCUGUUUAAGAUGCCUGAAAAAGUUGCCCAGUUUCUGGUGAAUCUGAGUAUAGCAGCGGCUGAGUGGGAUUCAGCUACAGGACAGAAUUUUUCUAAGAUCAUAUCCUCUGUGUGCAGCUACAGUACAUUCGAUUUUGGGUAUGGGGACAGCUCUAGACGGAGUGAUUUCCUCAUUGAUCUUCAUUCAUAUGUGAAGGACUAUGAGACUAAGACAGACAGGAGCCUCCUUCCAGCAUUACAAUCUGUUUACCAGUCAGCUCCUGCAGUCUGGUCCAUAGACCUCUCAAAGAGAAAAGCCUCCAUCCUCCUAGAGGUGCUGAAACUCCAAACACAGAAGAGACCAGUAGAGCUGAGAGGCUGGUCAGAUGAAGAGAGUGAAGUGAGGAGUUUCCUUCAGUGUCUGCCCUACAUCUCACAACUCAGAUUCCUACAAGAUUUCCUGAUUAAGAUUCCUGAAAAAGUUUCCCAGUUCCUGGUGAAUCUGAGUAUAGCAGCAGCUGAGUUUGAUUCCGCUACAGAACAGAAUUUCUCUAAGAUCGUAUCCUCUGUGUGCAGCUACAGUACAUUCCCUUUGGGUCAUGAGGACAUCUGUAAACGGAGUGAUUUCCUCAUUGAUCUUUAUUCAUAUGUGAAGGACUAUGAGACUAAGACAGACAGGAGUCUCCUUCCAGCAUUACAAUCUGUUUACCAGUCAGCACCUGCAGUCUGGUCCAUAGACCUCUCAAAGAGAAAAGCCUCCAUCUUCCUAGAGGUGCUGAAACUCCAAACACAGAAGAGACCAGUAGAGCUGAGAGGCUGGUCAGAUGAAGAGAGUGAAGUGAGGAGUUUCCUUCAGUGUCUGCCCUGCAUCUCACAACUCAGAUUCCUACAAGAUGUCCUGUUUAAGAUGCCUGAAAAAGUUUCCCAGUUUCUGGUGAAUCUGAGUGUAGCAGCGGCUGAGUGGGAUUCAGCUACAGCACAGAAUUUCUCUAAGAUCUUAUCCUCUGUGUGCAGCUACAGUACAUUCCCUUUGGGUCAUGAGGACAUCUAUAAACAGAGUGAUUUCCUCAUUGAUCUUCAUUCAUAUGUGAAGGUCUAUGAGACUAAGACAGACAGGAGUCUCCUUCCAGCAUUACACUCAGUUUACCAGUCAGCACCUGCAGUCUGGUACAUAGACCUCUCAAAGAGAAAAGCCUCCAUCCUCCUAGAGGUGCUGAAACUCCAAACACAGAAGAGACCAGUAGAGCUGAGAGGCUGGUCAGAUGAAGAGAGUGAAGUGAGGAGUUUCCUUCAGUGUCUGCCCUACAUCUCACAACUCAGGUCAGUGAAGUGCUUGAUUCAUUCAGUACAUGCAGUAAAAUAAAAUAAAUAUAAUAUUUGUGUCGUUUGGAAGUUUUGUGUCGUGCAUGUGUCUGUGUGUGUGUGUUAGUGAUGUGUGGGUCGACCCAUAAGCCAUGGGCCACAGGUAUGGGAAAACCUACCAGAAAAUAUUACAGGUUUGGGUGAGUGGGGUCAAGAGAGCUACAAUGCAGCAUUCUGACUGAGUUAGAAA
rnacentral:lncRNA from 1 species